UGUGUUGCUUACCUGUCCCGACGGUAUUCAUGAGCCACGUUGCUUGUUUUCGUCUCGCGUCCUUACGGGGCGUGAGAUGAACUAGUCGGUGCCUUGCGUGUUCCUUUCUGAGCCAUUGGCUUCUGCCUCGGCCCAUGCUCGGUAGCUGGUACUCUCGGAUGCUGAAAAUUAUGUGGGCAUAGGGUUCAAACCCCUUCAGAACAAAGCCCGGGCCUAGCGCUCGUCGCUCAAACCGAAAGACGUCGCUCCUCGCCUUGGCCUUGCUGGACCGUCGGUCGUAGCAAUGGCCAUGCGUCGUGCUAUCGUCUCGA
rnacentral:misc_RNA from 1 species